UGGACGUGAGCGUAACCACGACCUACUGUACAGCAGGUCGUGAGCGUAACAUGGGAGCUUCAAUGGUACAUCUAAGCUUUCUUGGUUAUCCCAAGCUGUUCCUUAUCCUUCCGCGUAAUAACUCUUUCUUGUACCCAAUAGAAUACCGAAUAGAGAUCGUAUAGAAGCUCAGAGGCUGCACCUGUCAUUCACAUAGACAGCUCUUGCACAGUGGGUGCCCUCAAAUGUACUGCAGAGUUUGCUGUGUUGCUGUUUAGUUGAGCAUCAACUGAUAGCCUCGACAAUACGACAAGCAACACAUGUGGCUGACAACAGGAGCUGAAAGCAUUUCAUGCUUAAAAUGUCUGCAGCAGCGGCACUGUUUGAUUAGUCAAGGACCCCAUUUCAUGGCCCUCAUCGAACACUGUUUCUGCCUUUGUAACGCUUCCUAGAAUUUAUCCUUCAAAUUCUUAUGUGAAAGAACCAUGCAUCAAUUUUGGCGUAUUUCUCAAACUGUACGAGCAGAAUUGCUGCUGAUUUCAUAAAUACAACCUAUAAAUCAAUACAGCAGAAUUGUUAGUUUAAAUAUGUAAUCCAAAUCAAGGAGCCAUUCUCAAGACGAUGUACCCGCUGGCACUGAUGCGUGGCAUUCCUGGCGUUGGUGAAAUCUUUAUUCUACAUGAUAAAGCAUGAAACAUUCACACGUGCUCUUCUUUCCUUCUUUUUUGAGCUUUGCUGUUUCAAGGAGCUUUGCCCUUUAAGUGGCAGCAGCCUGAUUGACAUCGCUUCUGACUCACAUAUUUAACAUUUUUGCACAGAUUGGUCAAGGAGUAGCCAGAUUUUGAGAGGUACAUCUUUAGCAGAGUCUAUAGGUGCUGGCUUUUGGUGUGGAGAGACAAGCAGCUUCAUAGCUUCCCUCCUGUCUCUUGUCAUUGUGUCAGCAAACUGAAAUGAAAACUCUCGAAACAGUAUAUUUGCUAAUGAGGAAUCUUUGCAAGGCACAUUGUGAAGCGCAUGCCAAUGAAUUGCUUCAACCUUUUACAUUAAACAAAUUAUGCCAUGUGCUGUCGAGAGGCAAAUAAAGCUGUUCGCUUUAAAAAUUAGCAAUAAUAUCCGCAGUUUGUGAAGUGAUUGAGAUAUUGUUACCCAGUACCUUCAACAAAGAUGUUAUGGGAAACAGUGCAAGGAACUAACAUACUUACACUAAUUGCAGGUAUUUGGCGGAGUUGUAUGGGAGACAAGAUAGCCAACCAAUUUUCCUCUAAUGCAUGUGAGCUUUGUCAUCUUCAUGGUGUAAUGUAAUCGUUUCAGGUAGCGGAUAAAGAAUGUGUGGCAACAUGAAAUGGCCUUUGACGACACAGGCGAGUAGUGGAUGCCACACUUCAGUUCUAAUUAAAGUUACAUCAGCACAGAGCAUGUAUGCUACGACCAAGUUGGGUCCAGACUUUGGAUUACUGUGUACAGUGUCACUCUCUUCUGCAUUGCAGAAGAUGGAAGCCAGUGUUUCUUUGCUGUUGCCAUUUCAAUUUAGUAUAUUUUCAUGUUUUCAUGCUCUGCAAAAUACAGCCAGAGGUUGCACGGUCUUGAAAUGAAGACUACUUUUUGUGUUUUCAAGAUAGUUUUAGCUAUAAUAAACGGAAUUUCCAAAAAAACAAA